rnacentral:rRNA from 1 species
AUUGAACGCUGGCGGCAUGCCUUACACAUGCAAGUCGAACGGAUUUGGGGGCUUGCUCCUAAGUUAGUGGCGAACGGGUGAGUAAAGCAUCGGAACGUACCCAGUCGUGGGGGAUAACGUAGCGAAAGUUACGCUAAUACCGCAUACGUCCUGAGGGAGAAAGCGGGGGAUCGCAAGACCUCGCGCGAUUGGAGCGGCCGAUGUCGGAUUAGCUAGUUGGUGAGGUAAAGGCUCACCAAGGCGACGAUCCGUAGCUGGUCUGAGAGGACGACCAGCCACACUGGAACUGAGACACGGUCCAGACUCCUACGGGAGGCAGCAGUGGGGAAUUUUGGACAAUGGGCGGAAGCCUGAUCCAGCCAUGCCGCGUGGGUGAAGAAGGCCUUCGGGUUGUAAAACUCUUUCGGCAGGAACGAAACGGCGAGCUCUAACAUAGCUCGCUAAUGACGGUACCUGAAGAAGAAGCACCGGCUAACUACGUGCCAGCAGCCGCAGUAACAC